UACUGGAAAAAAAAAUCAACUUUUAAUUUAACCAAUCAAACUGCAUCCAGGAAUGUCUAAACUGAACAAAACAAAAUAAAAUUCUCCUUUUAAAGGAACCAAGAGCUUACACCAGCCCCACACUCCUAAGGUCUAUACCAAAAGUAGCCCAUUUUGGAGAUGCCUCUGUCCUUCACAUCCUCAUCCAGAGGAAGGGCUGGGGAUGGUGAGGAACCUGUACCUUCCUCCCAUCACACAGGAGUUCUUAAAAGUCACAGUGGGUGAGCUUCUCCCACCCCACUUCGUAUCCAUGCUGAGACCUCCAGAGAGAGGCAGGCAGGACAGCCCCAGGACCCUCAGGGCUUGCAGCCAAUGCUCUGCCCCAGUCCACUCAGGCAGCUGUUCCCAGCGCCAGGGUGGAGUUGAUAUGUACUGGAGGAGAAAAUCUCAAACGUCCCAUCAUGUCACAUGUUCAUGCAAGUCAGAGCAGAAGCAAUCCACCCCUAACCUAAGAACACCGGCCAGCGACAGCCUCAGAAGACACGUUCAAAUUCCGUCUGGUUGGUAGUGGCGGGAUUUCGGCUCUGGUUGGUGGACUGCUGGGUGAUCUGGCUACCCUUCCGUCGUGGUGGGGCCAGGUACUCAAACAUAGACGUCAAGUGAGUAGACAGCAUGCCCUUGAGGUCCGAGGGCAUGGGGUCCGACCAGAAGAAGUCAUGGUUGAGGGCA
rnacentral:lncRNA from 1 species